GCCGUCUUAGCUCAGUUGGUUAGAGCGCGACACUAGUAUAAUGCGUUUCCACGCAUCUCUGGCAUGUCGAGGUCUCCAGUUCAACUCUGGAAGAUGGCA